CGGAAGAAGGCGCGGCCUGUGGCGUUUACUCGUGGCCAUAGCAUCGGCCUGCUCAGCACAGCCCUCCACGCACGAGCGCGCGCACGGAGGCGCGCGGGCCUAAACGCGACUACGCUGCGUAGCCACUGCACCGCCACUCCCUCACCCUCACCCUCUCCCAGCGACCAAGGUGGUGGUGUGUUAACACUGGCUGGCAGAGAGGGCGCGGGUGUGAGGUCACAAGCACGCUCCGAUUGAGGUAGUGGUGAUGGAGGCGGUGGUUGCCCUGCGGCUGCUCACCAUCCAUAUUCUCGCCGCACUCUUACUGGUGCUGCCGUCGUUCCCUCUCGCGGAAGGGCCGUGGCCGCUGAGUGUGCAGGCUGCACACCGUUCCACAGAUGCGCACGCCGAAGGGCCGAGCAUACAUCCCCGCAAGUACUACCUUGGUAAGUAUGGCGCACACUGCAUCAGAAACUUGACGGAGUUCGUCGCGUCCGAGGACGCUGCAGAGCGCCUCGCCUGCUUCUCUGGACGUGGCGUUCGCGUGGCGUUACUCGAGACCGGUUUGUGUGCCGGCAUCGCUGAGCGCAGCCGUAACUCCGUUACCUGUACGAGUGUCGUGCCUGGCGUGGCGUGCGAAGAUGCCGGCUGCGCUCACGGGACGCGCAGUGUGAGCGUGCUGGCAGGACAGCUCUCUGUGUCGGCACCGCUGCCUAGAGAACCACUGGAGGAGACUGCGUGGCGCAACAGAGAAACACACCUCGCCUUGGCUGAUCAGUACAUCGGGCUCGCCCCUGACUCCACGGUGCGCGUGUUGCGUAUCUUCGACAGACAAGGGCGCACAAACCGACGCCACCUCGCCCGCGCCCUCGACCUGCUGCUGCGUGAGGCGGAGGACGGCGAAGCAGGUCGCCUGCACAGUGCGUGGAACACAUCCAGUGCGCACAUCCGCCGCCGCGACGAGACCGUGGAUGUGAUUAGCCUGUCCUAUGGCAGCAAAGACUACCACAGUAGCCCGCAGGUGCAGGACAGGUUGUACCGGCUGAUGCAUGAGCACGGCGUCAUCGUCGUAGCGGCCGCCGGCAACGACGGGGCGCGCUUCGGCAGCGUGCGAAGCCCAGCGGACAUGCCCGGCGUGUUGGCCGUCGGUGCCCUGAGGAUGGAAUGGCACGGCAGGUCGGCACAGACAACGCAGGCGUCACGCACUCUCGGCGACUUGGCGAGCUCCCUUGCCGCCGGUGGCGGUCACAAGUCUGUUGCGCAUUUCUCUGGGCGUGGCCCUACCACAUGGGAGCUGCCCUUCGGUGCAGGACGUGCAAAACCGGAUCUCGUCGCUCUCGGCCAACACGUGUGGGCUGUCCAAGGUGUUUCGGCGGCGGCGUUCUCCGCUGCGGCUCCACGGGCACGUAGUGCUUCACCUGCGCUGCAGCUGCGCUCCGCGUCUGGGACGAGUAUUGCCGCCCCUAUCGUGGCCGGAGUGGUGGCGCUCUGUCUCGAGGCGGCAUGGUCAUCUACGUCCGCUGUAGCAUUAGCACAGAACAUGACCGGAGGUGGUUCUUUCCUUGACGUGCGUCAGAAUCGACUUGCCCGUGUUUCCGAUUCGCUGCGGGUGCGUGAGGUGAUCUUGCGGACGGCCGUUCCUCUGGGAGAAGCCGCCGCAUCACUGCCGCCAUGGCCUCACUCCGCACCCACCACGCCUUUACACAGCGACUCCUCCUCGACGGCGUCAGAGGCGCAUCCUCGCCGAGUGCUGGCUGGUGUGCCACUGCUAAAGCUUUAUGCCGGCUACCUUCGCCUGUCGCGAGUCAGCAUUCUCUCGCAAGGAGCGGGCGAGGUGCAGCCGCUCCGCGCGCUGCACGCCAUCGUCGCGAAGGCAGCUGCGUCCUCGGCCAUCGAUGCACCGGAGGCGUUGCGCAACUGCGCCUCUUUCGCCAUACCAACAUGCGUGCGCAUCGGCUAUAGGAUUCCACGUUGCAGCAACAGCAACAGCAGCAGCAGCAGCAGCAGCGGGGACAUGAGCACCCCGCAGAGCUGUCAGCCUCCUCAUGAUCCUGACGGGAAGGCACACGGCGACUCGCCGUUGCCGGGUAGAUCCGGCAUGUCCCUGGACGCACCGCCCGCCGCGUACUGGUGGCCCUUCUCCGACCAAGCAGUCUACCCCGGCGCCACACCCGUGCUGCUGAACAUUUCUCUCCACCUCUGCCCCCCUUCUUCGCCCGCUGCCGCAGAUCAGGGCACGCGUGACGCUGCCGCUGCAGCAAGUGGCAAAGGUGCACGUCGAGGGUCAACGACGCAUAUCCACGUCACGCAUGUAAUCACCAAGGUAAGCGGGCACGUGCGUGCGCGUGAAGGUCAUCCAUCACGGAACAGCAGUCACCAGUGUGACGCCUGUCCUCUCCUCUUUGAGGGUGCGAAGAGCCGCCACCGUGCGGGCUCGACAAGCCCGACGCGGCUUCUGAACUUGACGGCACGGAGCGCCUCUCCGCGCGCAUCAUGCAGUGACGGAGAGGUGGCUGGGGAGGGGGCCACGGUAAUGGGGCCGCGACACACACAAACAGCCGUGUGUUCAUCUGUGAAGCGGUGGAGCACGCAGCAACGGUGGAUACACCACCUUCUACGCGUGGCGACCGAGCUCACGGUGGUGGCGAGCAGAUCGCAGACGCGCGCUAACGUGGUAGAGCAGCUGUCACCGCCACCGACAUCUUUCAGCCUCUCCGUCGCCGUCUCCUCCCCCGCGUCCGCGCACACGCAUCUUUGCUACGACGUCGCGCGCGAGACAGUGGCGGUGUGGCGGAAGAAGGGCAAGAGCUCGCCGGCCAGCGAGAAGGACGCCGCGGCUGGUCGGCGCUCGGCCGACGGUGACGAUGGCCACGACAAGCAGCAUUCAAGGGACGGUGCGCAGGUGCCAGCAGACCACGACCGUUGCGUUCCGCUUUUUCAUCUGUUUCGCGCGCUGAGCGUGGAAGGCGCGCUGCAUAUCUUCACUGGCAGCUCCUCCUCGCAGCCCGCGCUGACAGUGCCGUUCGCUGUUCGCGUCGUGGAGCCGCCGCCCCGGGUGCAGCGGGUGCUGAUCGACACAAGUCUCGACUGUUUCAACCCUACGACGGCCACCUCGAAUUUGUUCAUCGCCGGCGACGACCCACACGAGUCGGACGCUGGCGGCGCAGGCGCGGCACUGCGGCGCGGGCGGCAGCGUCAGCGUCACGAGCGCGCCUACGCCGAGGCGAGUGGUGGCGAUCACCCGUUCACAAACCUCGCUCUGCUAUACCUCUACCUGCGCCACACACUUGGAAUGGCAGUGGAGACGUUCCCGCUACUGCACAUGAGCACGAUAGCCACCUCGAUCGCAGCUAGCCAUAGCCCACCGCUCUGGCCCCCUGCAGAGCGCACCUCCAACGUCUCCCGCACUGCGCAGAGGGCACCCGCAGGCACUCUGGCACACAUCGGCACGCUGAUCAUCGUCGACCCGGAGCGGCCGCUGACACGCGGUAUGCGGCGUCUCCUAACGCGUGCGGUGCUCGGCGGCGGCGCGGAUCGCUCAGCGGACGGCCUCAACGUUCUUCUGGUGACGGACUGGUACAGCGCCGAUCUGGCGGCGCAGCUGCACUGGGCGCGCGACGAAAGCCUAUACGAUGCAGAGCGCUUCUCCCACAUCAACGGCACCGACGCGACGGACGAGGUGGCCGGUGCCGAUGGCGACAGGGAUGCUGUGCGCGACUUGCGGGCGCUUAGGCAAUCGGAAAACGGCUCUACCCGCGGCCUCGCCGGCUCCAGUCACGUGCCGUCGUGGAACCGUUGGCUGUCAGAGGUGACGGUCGCGUCGGGCAGUGCGGCCAACAGCAGCGACUGCGAUGGCGCAGCCCCUCUGGGCAGCGAGGGGCUUCUAGACGGAACAUCUGAGUUGCCAUUUGAGCUGAGCGAGAGCAUCGUGAUAGACGGCGCUGUGUUGGUCGACGCUGCCGCCCCGAGGAGGAGGAGCGAGCCUGAGGGCAACGCAUUCGCCUCGCACGGCGGCACCGUCACCUCGGCAAAGGUGGUCGCUCUCCGCUCUCUUGGGCAGCUGUGCGCCGCCGGCGUGCUGCGAUGGCGUCUCCCCGCGCAGGCAGCAGUGCAGCGACAGGCAGGGAGAGCUACCGCGGUCGGAGCUUCUAAAGGGGUACGUGAGCCCAACGUUUACCCAAGUGGUAACGGCACCUGCAGCACCGGCGACGCAUCGAACACCUCAGCUAUGCCUUCAACGCAAGAGGGUGAGGCUGUCAUAUGCAAUGUCAUGCCAAGCUGGGCGCAGCAGCAGCGGCGCCUCGUAAAGCGCACCGUCGUCAGCACAAGAGACGGCUCGGCGCCGGCGGCUGUGGUUGAAGACGGCUGGGAAGAUGUGCCUGUCGCAAACGGGGACGGACGUCUCGUCCGCAUCGGCGGACUGGAGGCGGCCGAGGUCAGCACAAUGGCACCAGCAGCAACGGGCGCAAGCGACGCCACGCAGAGUCUCACGCACGGUGUGCUGGGCUUUCUCACGCUUCCCCCAUCCUCCACACUCGUUUCCACCGUGUCCGCCAACCGCUUUCGGCCUGGGCGCAUAGCGAUCUUCACGGACUCGGACUGCCUGUCGGCCUCGGACCACCACGCACAAGCCGCCCUGGAUGAGUUGGAAGCUCUUCUCUACCCACCUUCCGCUUCGCCAUCGUUACCCGUGACGACCUGCGCGACGUGGGACUGCUUUUCACGCACUCCCGACGGGCAACGGCUGCUCCAAGCAGAGUCGGCGCAGAGCUCCGUGUGCGUCGAAGUGGUGAAGGAGCUGCUGCUGUGGCUGCACACGGGAAACCUGCACCGCUGGCGGGACUCUGCCCAGCUCCAGUGUGAGGCGCGUACGUGGGCACGAGCACGGCAUCGGAGCACGGCGGACACCACCCCUGGUGCAGGCAGCGUGCUCGAGCCCAAAGCAGGGGAGGAUAGCGUUGAAGGUGAUCGCGAAACAGCGAACUUCGACGAGCUGCUCGGAACGGCGCCAGAGCGUGCGCACGUCGGCGAGGUGGUGUGGCGGUUAUGGGCUUCUUUGGUGGAAAGCACAGAGCGCGAUGCAGCGUCGUUCCUUGUCGAGGGUCCGAAAGAAGGGACCCGCUUUCAAGGCGACUACGCAGCACAUCAGGAGAGCGCCGCGGCUAACGUGAUGCGCGCCUUGAUGGUGAAGUACCAUGGAGACUGGCGUGCACAUCUGCUGGACCAUAAUGUGUCACCGCCAAGCACCGGCGCCGCCGGCGACUCAUACUCACAAUCUCUACGCCCCGCGCGUGGCCGGCGGAGCGGCAUUGCGACCGUGCAGCAGCCAGAGCAGCAUAUCUCCUUGAUAGAGAGCCUGCUGCCGUUGUGCGGCAUGCUCAACGCCCUGCGGUGGCUGCAGCAUCCGAUGGUGCUUGGUCAGCUCAUGGUUAGUGCAGCUGUCGUGAUGAGCGUGUGGUUGUGCCGUGCAGGGGGCGGUCGUUGGAGAGGCCAACGCGCGUGACUGCCCUCUGUCGAGUUCGUCAACUGUGGCGUGUUCGCUCUUGAAGAUGCUUGUUGAGAGGAUGCACACAUGCGGCAGGAAGAAGUGGGAAAAAGGCGAUGAGCUGAUCAAGGGCGUCGGCGUCGGAGCGUCACGGUGGUGCGGCGCCUCCUCCCUUCCUUUGUGCGUUUUCUCGAUCUCGCCACCUCUGACCGGAUGCAAGUGAGGGGAAGAGCCGGCGCGUGUGUGCUGUCGUGAGCGCGACUGGAGUAUGUCUGCGACUGGGUCUCGUGUGGGCUGCGCUUCGGGCCAUGGCCAUCGGCCCCAGUGCUCUCGCGCCCCCGCCACCAGGUCAGCGGCUCGAACAGCAAAGCAGAAG
rnacentral:misc_RNA from 1 species